AAGUCGUAACAAGGUUUCCGUAGGUGAACCUGCGGAAGGAUCAUUAACACGUAUCCAACGUUAAAACCCCCCCCGUGAACUUUCAAUCCUGCUCUUGUAACCCGCGUAGUUCGCAAUCUCUGGUAAAUCAUAGCCCGGAAAGUUGUUUUGAUUCAGAGACCUCUGGCUACGUGAGAACAAUGGAACAGUUACAAUCGAGCGGUAGUUUCAAGGGUCCCCAUGCCCCCUAAUAACCCCACAGUUUAAUGUAAAGCUCAAUGUAAUACAUUGGGUAAAAAAACCGAACAACUGUUAACAAUGGAUAUCUUGGUUCUC
rnacentral:misc_RNA from 1 species